rnacentral:rRNA from 1 species
ACGCCGCGUGAGUGAAGAAGGUCUUCGGGAUUGUAAAGCUCUGUUGUGAAGGAAGAACGCGCCGGAUAGGGAAUGAUCCGGCGGUGACGGUACUUUACCAGAAAGCCACGGCUAACUACGUGCCAGCAGCCGCGGUAAUACGUAGGUGGCAAGCGUUAUCCGGAAUUAUUGGGCGUAAAGGGUGCGCAGGCGGUUUUUUAAGUUUAAGGUGAAAGCGUGGGGCUUAACCCCAUAUAGCCUUAGAAACUGGGAGACUGGAGUGCAGGAGAGGGCAAUGGAAUUCCAUGUGUAGCGGUAAAAUGCGUAGAUAUAUGGAGGAACACCAGUGGCGAAGGCGGUUGCCUGGCCUGUAACUGACGCUGAGGCACGAAAGCGUGGGGAGCAAAUAGGAUUAGAUACCCUAGUAGUCCACGCCGUAAACGAUGAGAACUAAGUGUUGGGGAAACUCAGUGCUGCAGUUAACGCAAUAAGUUCUCCGCCUGGGGAGUAUGCACGCAAGUGUGAAACUCAAAGGAAUUGACGGGGGCCCGCACAAGCGGUGGAGUAUGUGGUUUAAUUCGAAGCAACGCGAAGAACCUUACCAGGUCUUGACAUCCCGGGCAAAGCUGUGGAGACACAGUGGAGGUUAUCCCGGAGACAGGUGGGGCAUGGUUGUCGUCAGCUCGUUC